AGUGAACGCUGGCGGUAGGCCUAACACAUGCAAGUCGAACGGCAGCACAGUAAGAGCUUGCUCUUACGGGUGGCGAGUGGCGGACGGGUGAGGAAUACAUCGGAAUCUACUUUUUCGUGGGGGAUAACGUAGGGAAACUUACGCUAAUACCGCAUACGACCUACGGGUGAAAGCAGGGGAUCUUCGGACCUUGCGCGAUUGAAUGAGCCGAUGUCGGAUUAGCUAGUUGGCGGGGUAAAGGCCCACCAAGGCGACGAUCCGUAGCUGGCCUGAGAGGAUGAUCAGCCACACUGGAACUGAGACACGGUCCAGACUCCCACGGGAGGCAGCAGUGGGGAAUAUUGGACAAUGGGCGCAGGCCUGAUCCAGCCAUACCGCGUGGGUGAAGAAGGCCUUCGGGUUGUAAAGCCCUUUUGUUGGGAAAGAAAAGCAGCAGGUUAAUACCCCGCUGUUCUGACGGUACCCAAAGAAUAAGCACCGGCUAACUUCGUG
rnacentral:rRNA from 1 species